UCCAGCAUGGACCGAACGGGAGGUACGGGAUCCGAUUGCUGUAUGGGGAGAGGAAUCCGUGCUAUCAGAACUCCGUUCCAGUUUUUGAAAUGCCAAAACCUCCCAAGGCAUGAAGGACAGAGGCCAUAACAGGGACCCAAAGCAGUGCCGCGUGAAACUGAAGGAGCUGAGGCAAGCCUACCAGAAAACCAGAGAGGCGAACGGCCGCUCCGGGUCAGAGCCCCAAACAUGCCGCUUCUAUGAUGAGCUGCAUGCCAUUUUAGGGGGGUUCAGCCACCACUACCCCAACCGUGUUGUCUGACUCCUUCAAUGGAGAUGGAGGCAACACUGAAGCAGGUUUUGGGGACAAGAAGAUGAUGAUGAGGUUGUAGAUAGCUCACAGCAAGCAAGCGGAGAAACCGGUUUUCCUGACAGCCAGGAACGGUUUCUCACCCUGGACCUGGAGCCAGUACCCCCCGAACCCACCCAAGGCUGCCUCCUGGACCCAGUAGGCAGAGAAGGGAUCUCCGCUGCAUGUGUUUCAAUGAUCACAGGAUCUUCUCCUUCCCAGAGGCUAGUGAAGAUUAGAAAGAAAAAAAAAUGCACUCGAGAUGAAAUGUUCUCCGAGCUCAUGCUGUCCUCCCACACUGACAGAGCACAGACGAAUGCGUGGAGGCAAAUAAUGUCAGAGUGCAGGAAAGCACAAAAUGACCGGAAGGAGAGGUAGCGGGCUGAAGACAGGGCUGAAGCUCAAAUGUGGCGGCAGUGUGAUGAGAGGAGGCAGGAUUCAAUGCUGAGACUGCUGGAGGACCAAACCAGUAUGCUCCAGUGUAUGGUUGAGCUGCAGCAAAGGCAGCUGGAGCACAGACUGCCCCACUACAGCCCCUGUGUAACCAACCGCCCUCCUCCCCAAGUUCCAUAGCCUCCACACCCAGACGCCUAAGAACGCGGUGGGGGGGGCCACCGGCCAACCAGCCACUCCGCCACAGAGGGAUUGCCCAAAAAAAAAAAAAAAGAAGGCUGGCAUUCAAUAAAUUUUAAAGUUGUAAACUUUUAAA